GAUGAACGCUAGCGGCAGGCUUAACACAUGCAAGUCGAGGGGUAGAGUUCUUCGGAACUUGAGACCGGCGCACGGGUGCGUAACGCGUAUGCAAUCUACCUUUUACAGAGGGAUAGCCCAGAGAAAUUUGGAUUAAUACCUCAUAGUAUUAUGACUCGGCAUCGAGCUAUAAUUAAAGUCACAAACGGUAAAGAUGAGCAUGCGUCCCAUUAGCUAGUUGGUAAGGUAACGGCUUACCAAGGCUACGAUGGGUAGGGGUCCUGAGAGGGAGAUCCCCCACACUGGUACUGAGACACGGACCAGACUCCUACGGGAGGCAGCAGUGAGGAAUAUUGGACAAUGGGCGCAAGCCUGAUCCAGCCAUGCCGCGUGCAGGAUGACGGUC
rnacentral:rRNA from 1 species